AGAGAACCGUGUAUGCAUUUUUGAAAAGAAUUUCAGUUCAUUCCUUCUUUUCCUCCACGAGAGCCUUCAAGUUUCUCACCGUAACCUCGUCGUCACCGUUUCUCACCGUAACCUCGUCGUCGUUUCUCACCGUAACCUCGUCGUCGUUUCUCACCGUAACCUCGUCGUCGUCGUCGUUUCUCACCGUAACCUUGUCACCGUUUCUAUGAUCUUCUCAUUCUCUAAUCGUCACCGUUUAUCACAAACCCUUCGCCAUUACCGUUUCUCAUCGUCGUCACUGUUUCUCACAAUCUCUUCACCGUCACCGUUUCUCAUCGUCGUCACCGUUUCUCAGAACCCUCUAAUCUUCUUUCACGAACCCUUCAAAGUUCAAACCCUUUCCCGUUUAGAAAUUUGAAUGUCACCGAAACCCUAACUUUCUCAUUAGUCCCUUUUCCCCCAAAUUGCACGAGCACUGAAUCUCACAUCUUGUUCAAUUAAUCUAUGAAGGGAGCUAUCAUUUGCACUUCCAUAAGAAAGACCCUCAUUUUACCAACUGUGUGAGGGUUCUAUUUAUUCCUUCGAUUUUAUGAGUGUUGCUUCUGCUAGAGAGGUUGUUACAGGACUGCCAAGUACAAUUGUGAACUUAAUUUUCAGUUUGCAACUAAGGCAAGAGGAAAUUAGGAGGAAGAGGCAUAGUAAGCUGUUAGCAAGACUUAUGUCCCAUGUACGACGGUUCCGUCACUCCUGCACGAAGGCUCUGUUGUUCCUGCACGAUUGCUACUUCCCCGUAUGAUUUGUCAUUGAUGGAAACAAAAUUGAAAAGUGGAAUAACACUCUCAUUGUUGACCGUUAUUCUUAUUCUGGGUGGCCUUCUCAUCUGCUAAGGGACAAAUUUCCAGGAAGUCUUAUUCUAGCUCAGUCUAGAAUUCACAUAAUUUCUUAUGUUCUCUUUCUGUUAGUAAAUGGUGGAUUGCUUGCUCCAGAUCUUCUAUGUGGCCAAUAAAUAGUGGUUUCUUGCGUUAGGUUGAGACAUGAUUUCAAUGUUGCUUAUUUUUAUGCCGGAAAAGAAAGCUAUAGAAAGAUGAGGGUUUAUUGAUGAAAGAUAUGAAAAGCUUGAGUUUCAGAAGAAAGUUACCGAACAUUACAAGAUCCUUCAGAAUGCCUCCUGGAAGGUAAUGAACUGUUUUUCUGGCCUCAAGAACAUUACAAAGACCCAUUUCUUCAUUUAUUAUUUAUUCAAGAACAUUCAAUCUUCAGCUUGAAAAAGAGGUACAAUUUUACCCACUUUUCUCGUUCUUGAUCAUUGAAGAACAAAAAGAACCUUAAUUGUGCAAAAAAUGUCAUGUCCCAAGAUCAUGUUUGGUACCAAUAUUUUAAAACAACAGUUUUUGGAAUUUUCAUUCCAACAUAUUUGCCCUAUCUAGUUUAUAAUCAAUACUUGUUGGGAACGAUGAUGGGCUUCGAUAAAACUUUUAAUCUUAUGUUUCGAUAAAAAGUGAUUCGAUGUCUUGAUGCCCAAAACAUACUGGAUAAAUUACUUAAUGACCCUGGUCCCUGAAUGUGAAAGCUAGUGGUUGCCUUAAUUGCUACUGAAGCAAUUGUCUAUAUCGGUGUCCGCUUUUCUAUUAAAAAAAUAUGAAUUUUUAUUCAUAAUAAUGCAUGCAUGGGUAUAUAGUUUGCUUUGAUGACCCUUAGUCCCUAACUUCAAUUCUACAACUGCAAUUAGAAGUGAUUUUGCAUUAUGAACAUAAUGACCCUUGUCCCAAAUGUUUCAUAAGUUUUGUAAGGGAUGGAUGCCUCAAUGACCUUUGAGAAAAAUGCAUUAUGAAUUCUUUAUUCAUAAUGAAAAAGUUGGAUGGUGGCUUUCAAAGGAAAGAAAUUUAAUAUGAAAAUUUUAUUCAAAACGUGAUGGUGUCUAUUGCCUUUUUAUGACCCUAAUUGUGAAAUUGUCACUAGUGGUAUUGUAUAUAAAGUUGGAUAUACUUUGUUCCAUGAUUUUUAUAAGGAAUUGUCUUGGUGGCCCAAAAAUGCUGGAUGAUGCCAUAUUGUGAAAGCAUUGUUGCCUUAAAUGCAAUUUUAAUGUAAAAUUUCAUUCAUAUUAUAAUGCAAGGAUAAUAUCUAUUGUGCUUUGAUGACCUUACUGAUAAGGGUUUCAAAGGAAUUCUCUUGAACAAAGUACAAAGAAACCAACUCUUUGGAGUAUAAACUAUUACUUAUAAUAUCGACUUGGUAUGUCUGGCAUUAUGCAGACAACCUAUGGCAUAUAAGGAUGCUUGCAUUGUGAUCAAUGGAGGAAACCAUAAUGAGGUUGUAUCUGAAAAAAUUCAGUAGGUGUUGGCAUAAUAGUACUAGAUGUAUGUGUUAUCAUUCUUGAUCAUUCAAUAAGAUUCAAUCUUUUGCUUGAUAAAUACAAAAGCUUUUGUUGCUGAGCAUAGCAGUGUUUAGGUUCAGCAUGCUAAUAAGGUGGUUAAUUGCCAAGGUUCAACAGUGAUUUGGAAAUCGAAAUCUCAUGGAACUGUUCUUGGAGGACUGUAACUGAAGUUGAAAUCAUGUUGUUGGGUGGUAAAGGGAAGGUUCAUCAUUCAGAUGCGGCUUCAUGCACGAAUCAGAACAACCUUUUGAAAAUGAAAAGUCAGAUCAACAGUGGUGUCCAGGUUCAACAUGCUAAUAAGGUGGUAAAUUCCCAAAGGUUCAACGGUGAAAUCGAAAUCUCAUGGAACUAUUAGCGGAGGACUGUAACUGAAGUUGAAAGCAUGCUGGUGAGCAAAGGGAUUGUUGAUGGUUCAGAUUCAGGUGUUAGUUUUGAUGUGGCUUCAUCCACGAAUCAGAGCAACUUUGAAAAUGAAGAGUCAGAUCCAGAGCAUCACAGUAUUUUUCUUUGCAAAAGAAGGUAACGGUUGUGUCCUUAACUCGACUAGGGAAAAUAUUUUUGCACCUGUUACUAUCAAUUUCCAGCAUGUUCUAGUUGAUGAUCAUAUCAAGGUAAAAUUUUCUCUCCUCAUUCUUUGCUACAAAAUAGAAGGUAUGGAGGCACAUGGCCUUUUACUGGUUUUGGGCUUUGGCACUACUUAUGCUAUUAUAAUUGCUUUUAUUAAUGAAUUUUCACUUACCAAAAAAAUAAUCUUGAUGCUGGAAUGUUUCAACUGGUGGUUUCAAUGAAUAAUCACGACUAUUCAGGGCUUUGCUCCUUUGAUUGUAUUGAUAAUAUCUUAGGUACAUGAUCACAAUAUUUGAGACUAUCUUUCCUUCAGAGGACAUCUAUCUAUGUUUUACUUUUUGACUUUUGAGAUCAUGCAUUGCAAAACUAGUGUGUGUGUAUUUCACUCAGUCAUUACGGGCCUUGCAUACACUCUCUUCUUAUUUGAUGACAUUCACUAGGAAGUUAUUGCUUUUACUCCCUCUUCCUAACAAAUGUUUA